CAGUGCAAUACGGGCGGGGCAUAGAGAGGCAGCCCCUGUGAGGGGCACCUGUGGGAACGGGGCUGUGUGGGGACGGAACGCCUACAUGGAUGGGAAUGAGGCGUCCAUUGGCACCAUGGAAACUAGAGCUUCCUUCUGAAGGGAUGCAGUGCCUAUAGGAAGUGGUAGAAGCCCCUGAAGGAAGGAAAUAUGCCCACAAGGACUGGGGGAAACUGUAUAGAAAGGAAGGUUACAGCCACUGCAGGGAGACAGCACUCUACAAGGGGAGGCAGCACGUAUUAAGAUCCUAUAAAGCAACAGCAGCUCUAAGAGCAACUACAGAAAGAAGAGGUAAAGGGGGGUACUAAGGUAGCUGAACAUCAGGGGACACAGCUGUACACCCCGCCUGCUUCUUUUGAAGGAUGACAGCAACUCUUACACCCCAAAGAUUAAACUGCAUUCUUUCCCGCUUAAUAAUUCCUUAACGUUUUAUUCUGGACCCAAUCUGUUGUGGGAGCAGCUUGUGCACAGCAGCCCCUGUGCUGGGAAACCUUCACCAAACAGCUGCUGAAGCAGCUGGGCAGCACUGCAGCUCGCCAGCAUCUCACAACACUGCGCUGCACCUAGUUCACAUUUAAUGAGUACGUGUGCAAAGAACAGCAUUGAUGUGAACGGACAAGAAGCCUGCGAGUUGUGCAGAGGAAUUUCAGCCAUUGAGCUGCUGUUCCAACAGUGCAACUGAACCUCUCCAGCCAACGGGGCGGUACCAGGCGAUGGACACACGCUCAGGCUCCGCUCUGCAGCACAAGGCUCCAUGUCCCGAGUGCUCAGCCCUCAGAAGGGGGCGGGCCGCUGCCGGCAGUGAAAUAGGCUGUUACACGGCGGAGAAACCGCGUCAGAGGAGGCAGCUCCUUGUGGUACGUCGUUACCGUGGUCACCUGGAUCCCUAGGGGUGCAUUUGUAACCACCACACUUCUGGAGCGCUCUUCAUCAUCGCUUUUGUUCUCUAACGAGCGAAAGAAACAAAACAAAGAACUUGGCAUUAAAACGAGCCAUCCUUUCCUCGGGCCAACACAGCCCUCACACACCACACUCCCCCACCGUCUUCCCCUCCAAGUGCGCAUGCCCGCCUCGCCAAGCCCAGCCUCCCUCCCGGGCCUAGAGGGCCUUACCGUCCCGUACCGUGCCCGCAGCCGUCCUCGGCUGUUCCGCUGUGGUAGUAGCUGUAGUGCAGCAUGCCGCCCAGCAUGGUCCAGCCGCCUAUGGAGUACAGCAGCGCCCAGCGCGCCUUCCACACCGCCGCCCGCACCGCCCUCAUGGCCUGCCGUGCGCCGGGCUGCCGCUAGGAGGGCGGGAAGAUGGCGGCGGGCUGUGUGUGGGGUCGCGCAUGCGCCCAAGCUGAGGGAAGGAAGAGGAAGAUGGCGGCACGCUGAGGCCUCGGCCUUACCAAGAGACAGGAGUGUUCUGCACUGACACAGCUCAGUGGGGACCAGCACUCAGUGUUAACGCCUUUCUUAGCCAGUUUUAUUCACCACUGAUUCAGCCCCAGGUUGCCUAAAGCCACCACCUCAGCCCACAGAUCAUCACGGAUUAAGCUACACCACAUAAAACAUACUUUGGCUCCUGAUACGGUAUGAGAAAAGCAGUGUAAACAACAGAGAUAAAAAGGAAUACAAAUAAAUUAGUAUCUAGAAGGGUAAAGUA